UUAUAAAUAGUAAAGAAGUUAUUAAUAGUAAAAAGGGUUCUAAAUAACAGGCUCUUUAGAAAUUAUAGUAUUGCUUCUGAAAAAGUCUAAAAAAAAUGUAUUUUUCGGAGGAUUCGUCCAAAAAAAAAAACAAUUAUUAGCGGUCAAACAUAUAGAAAUUACACAAGUGGCAAAUGGUGCAUGUUUUGUCAGGCAAAAAAGCGUCGCCAAACAUGGAUGGAACUGGGGACAUGGGUGUCAGAAAAAGGUUCCCAAGAAAGUUCAUCGAUUGGCACUUGUCGGAGAGUUGAUGCCUUCACCACUUUGGACAGCGUAUCCUGCAAUGCGUUCUUUUCCCAAUGAUAAUGCCAUGUUCUUCAUCUACAGCUGCGUUUCCAUGGUGGGCUUGGCUGGGGACAAAAGCAAUGGAGAUCUAUGAUCGUGUCAUGUCGCAGAAGAAGAAGCCCAAGCAGUGCGUGCUUGAGACAAUCAAUAGAACAAAUGAGAGGUGAUUUGCGUCCCGUCCCAAAUCGCAGAUCCAUGAAGUGACACGCGAAGCAGGGAGAUAUGGUGACAACGGUCGAGGAUCACGCUAGCCUCCUCUCCUCGGCCAAUCAUCGACGCCUACUCCAAAUGCGCGAGGUGGAUACGCCCCGUAAGGUGUUCGAUGCAAUGCCUCACAGAAACGUCGUCUCUUGGGAUGAACUCGUUGAAGGGGGUACCAAGACCACCACGAUAUCUACAGAGCGCCCAUCUUUCUCUCGACCUCUAAGGACUUCUUUACCGCAGAGGGAAUAGAUUUUAGGUGACAAGUUGUGUAUCACUUGAUUAGCUUUCAAGCAAUUUGAGAGGUCAGCAAGCUAUUUGUGAUUUCAUUUAUUUCAUGGCAGGAAGCUUCUACAUAAAUAAAGGAACAGCAGGUAAAUAGGUUAGUGGAACCCGAUGGAUCAGUUGUCAUAUAUAAAGCAUGCUUAGUGGCCAAAGGGUUUCAUUAACGAUCAUGUGUUCACUUCAUAGAGAUAUUUAGUCUAAUUGUUAAACCAACAACAAUCUGACUUUUCUUGAGUUUGACUAUUAUAAAAGACUAACACAUACGACAAUUGGAUGUUAAUAAUACUUUCUUAUAAGAUACCCUCAGAUGUUUUUAUGUAGCAACCUCCUAGCUUUAUCCAUCUUCAAUAUCCAAUGUAUGUUUGUAAACUAUAAAAAAUUAUUUAUAGACUUCAUCAAGCUCCAAAGCUUGGUACACUGAACUUGUUUUUGGCAUCAAGUGGCUUCAUCAACUCUAAGUCUAACAUCUCCUUAUUUUUAUGACAACAAAAUGGAAGUACAAUAUAUCUGUUGGUAUAUGUGGAUGACAUCAUCGUUAUAAGAAAUAAUCCUAUAGAGAUCAAGGAAUUCCUCAAGCAGUUGACAGAUCGAUUCUCCAUCAAGGAUCUAAGAAUCUUAAGCUACUUUCUGAUAGUGGAAGAAAUAUACACAUCUUCACGACUCUUUAUAUAUCAAAGGAAGUAUAUUCAAGAUCUACUAUCUAAGACAAAUAUGCAGAAUGCCAAAUAGGUUGCCACUCCACUCUCUACUACUGAAUCACUCAAAUUAUAUGAUGACAACCCUACUAUGAAUCCUACAAAAUACUGAUAAGUACUUUACUCGCAUCCAAACAUUUCAUUUGCAGUCAACAAAUUAUCACAAUUUAUGCAUCGACCCUCCACUACACAUUGGUCUACAGUAAAACGAGUCCUGCGAUAUCUCAAAGGGACUCUCAAUCAUGGACUUAUUCUUUGUAUAUACUCUUACUUUAUUUUUAUGCCUUUAUCGAUACUGAUUGGAUAUGAAACGUUGAUGAUAGAACAUCUACGUCAGGUUAUAUUAUCUUCCAUGGAGCAAAUCCAAUCAGUUAGAAUUCUAAGAUAUAGAAGACAAUCAUAAGGUCCACAACUGAAGUUAAAUAUUGAGUCAUAGCUACCACUAUUGUAGAACUCAACUAAGUCACCAAUAUGCUAUAGGAACUUGAUGUGAACUUCACAUUUACUCAUACAAUAUAUUGUGAUAAUGUCGGUGUCACCUGUCAAUCCAGUAUUUCACUCACGCAUUGAACACAUUGUUAUCGACUUCCACUUCAUCAAAGACCAAGUUGUCAGAUAUCAACUACGUGUUUCUCACCUAGUAGACUCUCUCACAAAGCCUCUUGCCCGUAAAAUAUUUUCGUUAUAUCGAUCCAAGAUUGGCAUCCUAGAUAGGAGUUCAAUCUUACAAGGGGAUGAUAGAAGAUUGGGAUCAUGAUAAAUUUAGAGUAACUAAUUGAUCUUCGUAAGAUAAGAAUGGAGAAAAUCUCUCUCUCGUAGCUCCCUCUAAAUUUAUAUAAAUAUUGUCUAAAUUAGCAUAUCUUCAUAAGAUGAGAUAUACUAACUUCUUGGCAUCUUAUUUUAUCAGUUACUUAUUUUGUAUCCAAAGUGUUGAGGUGCUUUUUCCAGCUAUAAGAAAUACAGGGAUCGAUACAAAGCAGAGAGAUAUGUGACUUUUGCUAACAUGCAAGAAUCCUGGAUCAUGAUGGUUUACCGGUGUUAAAUCUGGAUGCAGGUUUCAUUUUGUAGAGUUGUGGACUUGACUUGUUUGAACAUGAAAUCCAAGUCACUGAAUUUUUUCUGAAGACAUUUGAUCCAGCUAAAAUUCAACAUGCAUUCGGCAGUAGGUUUGCUCAAACUCGACCUCUGUAAUCAUUUGGUGUUUUACUCAAAUAAUACAAUGAGACUGCUAGGCGAUGGAUUCGAGAUUCGGUUGAAGACAACCAGCAUACCAUGGACAUUAGGUUAGGAAUUCUUAUUCAUGGUAUUGCUUGUAAUAUGUAACCAAGCAUGUUACACAUCGAUACCAUUUAACUCACUUAUCGAGUAAACUGUA